UCGCUGGUGCGCUCGUCGGCCGAGAGCGGAUCGCUGGACCCGGUCACCGCGGUCCUGGUGGACCGUUCCCUGCAGUUCGGCGACCGCACCGCCGAG
rnacentral:tRNA from 1 species